AAUAUUUAUAUCCCCAAAGUUCUUAAAAUAUAUUUAUAAUGACAAAAUUACUCUCAAUAACAUUUUUAAGCAUCCUACUAAUCAUCUUUCAGUAUUCUCUUUCCUCGACGGCGACAACAGGUAACACGAAUAGUUUUCUUCAUUAUAUACAAUACAUAGUAAAGAAUCGGUAUCACCACACACAUAAAUAUAUGCAUGCAUAUUCGAUUAAUCAUAUUCAAAAUAAAUAUUGUAAAAAUAGCUUACACUUAAAUAUACGACCAGUUUUAUGAGUUUUGAAUUUGAAUCCACCACCAUUUAUUGUCAUGUAGGUACAUAUUGUUUUUCUCCUUUCCUUAAACAAUGUUUGUCGUCUACCUAAUUUACACAAUCUCAAACUCCAAUAUGCUUGUACUAUUGGCAUGAAAUAUGUUCGAACUUGCUACACGUACAUGCUAAGAACUAAUUGUUAUUAAAAUAUUUUUUUUGAUCAAGAUCACCACAUAUUUGAUGCAGUCAUAACUCCAGAACAAAAAAGAGACAUAAAAUGCAUGUCAUAUUUGGGGCCAUGCGACAAUUCAUGCGAUGUAGAUUGUUGCAAGAGGACGUGCAAUAAUGACUAUAACAGCUUACAUCCCAACGGAAUGUGUAUGAAAUUAAGACAAUAUCCGGAUCUUAUUUGUGUUUGUACUCAUGAUUGUCAGAUGUCCUAAAUAUUAAAUUAUUACUAAAUAGAAUUAUAAUUCCUAUAUCUUGUUUGA
rnacentral:lncRNA from 1 species